UGGCGGUGUGGCGAGCAGAAGUGUUUUUUUUUGCGUCCUUCUCCAUCACAGCUCCUGUAGCUAAGCUGCUACGCUACUUUUAGCCGCUCAGAGCUCCAAGGAGGGCCGGGAGAGUGGGAGGGGACGAGUCUGAACUACGGGAGAGAGGUGUGUCGAAUACAGCGAGGUGAUUGGAUGGAGAGGCGGAGCUGGAGAUUGACCAAUAGGAGCUGUCCGGGACGGAUGGCUCCCAUUGUUCAAU
rnacentral:lncRNA from 1 species